AAGGAGUGCGUUCGUCAGUUAGCCGUUGCUAAGCACCAAAUUCCGAACGUGAGCUGUUGGGCAGUGACGUUACCUGCUGGUGGCGGACAGCAGUGAAAAUUUCUGGGACGUUGUGCAGCCAGUCAUUCUAAAGGAAGCUGAUGCUUAAGCAAAAUUCAAGGUUCACAGAUGAUAACACCCCAAUGUGGCCAAUCAAAACUUGAAAGGCAUGAAGCCCAAAUUCCUUUCAUGGCAACACAGGAACUUAAGUUGGCCCAUCACAGCAGCUGGAGAUGAAUCUAAAGAGAGGAACCCUGCUCAUGUUACACAGACCCUUCUGUCAAAGCAGAAUGUAUGUGACUGACUGGCAGUCAAGUAGGGAAGAAGAUGUGCAGCCACAGAAGGUCCUUAUCUUGUACCAGCAGCGAUUUCAUCAAGUGUGGGAAAUGGAAGAUCACAGUGGAGCAUCCGUCUCUGGGGAGAUUGUGCAACAGGGCCAGACACAACUUACAUCGGAGUACUGAUGCACCAGCUAACAGUCAGGAAGACACAUGCAUGGACACUUGUUGUCUCAAACGUAAACAAGGAUGGGGACAAUGAAUGGAGAUCAAUCCACACUAUGAUCAAGACGUUUUCCUCCCACUUAAAUGCCCUGUGCCUUUCCUAGAACUGUAAUUUGUUGACAUUUAACAUUGAGGGCACUCAGAGACAGAUAAGGUACAUCAAAGUAAUCUCUCAGCAAGGACCCUGGUUCCAUGCAAUGGAAAGUUACUAUUUGUGACUGACUGGAAAAUCUCACAUGCCUCCCUGGUAGUAGACCACCGGUCUAAGCUCACAAUAUGGGCGACUGACUCGCAGAGGAAUAAACAAAGUAGAUCCUAAUGGAUGAAUG